GUCCUAGUAGCUUAUACCCAAAGCAUAACACUGAAGAUGUUAAGAUGGAUGUAAUCACAUCCCAAGGACA
rnacentral:tRNA from 1 species